rnacentral:rRNA from 1 species
GUUGAGUGUAAGUGCACAAGGGAGCUUGACUGUGAGACUGACGGGUCGAGCAGGGACGAAAGUCGGGACUAGUGAUCCGGCACCUCCUGGUGGAAGGGGUGUCGCUCAACGGAUAAAAGGUACCCCGGGGAUAACAGGCUGAUCUUGCCCAAGAGUCCAUAUCGACGGCAUGGUUUGGCACCUCGAUGUCGGCUCGUCGCAUCCUGGGGCUGGAGUCGGUCCCAAGGGUUGGGCUGUUCGCCCAUUAAAGCGGCACGCGAGCUGGGUUUAGAACGUCGUGAGACAGUUCGGUCCCUAUCCGCCGCGCGCGUAGGAGACUUGCGGAAGGCUGUCCCUAGUACGAGAGGACCGGGACGGACGAACCUCUGGUAUGCCAGUUGUCCCGCCAGGGGCAUGGCUGGUUGGCUACGUUCGGAAGGGAUAACCGCUGAAGGCAUCUAAGCGGGAAGCCUGUUCCUAGAUGAGGUCUCCCACCCGUUGUGGGUUAAGGCCCCCAAGAGAUGAUUGGGUUGAUAGGCCAGACAUGGAAGCGCAGUAAUGUGUGUUGGAGUGGACUGGUACUAAUCGGCCGAGGACUUGCCUACAA